GUGUCUCGCGUUUAUGUGAGUGAUACCCAAUCAGCAGAGACGUGUCUGUAAACUCGUGGUAAUAAAAAGGCAGAGCGCUUUCGCACACAACAGUGUGUUUAACGCACCCCCCCCGUUU